UAUUUUAUAUGUAAUUAGUUAAAUUU
rnacentral:tRNA from 1 species